rnacentral:rRNA from 1 species
CGAGGAAUAUUGCGCAAUGGGGGCAACCCUGACGCAGCAACGCCGCGUGAGUGAGGAAGGUUUUCGGACCGUAAAGCUCUGUCGAGCGGGAAGAAAUGCAUGCUGGCUAAUAUCCAUCAUGCUUGACGGUACCGCUAGAGGAAGCACCGGCUAACUCCGUGCCAGCAGCCGCGGUAAUACGGGGGGUGCAAGCGUUGUUCGGAAUUAUUGGGCGUAAAGAGCGUGUAGGCGGUUGGACAAGUCAGAUGUGAAAGCCCUGGGCUUAACUCAGGAAGUGCAUUUGAAACUGUUCAGCUGGAGUAAGGGAGAGGAAAGUGGAAUUCCUGGUGUAGAGGUGAAAUUCGUAGAUAUCAGGAGGAACACCGGUGGCGAAGGCGACUUUCUGGCCCUAUACUGACGCUGAGACGCGAGAGCGUGGGUAGCAAACAG